rnacentral:rRNA from 1 species
AUUGAACGCUGGCGGCAGGCCUAACACAUGCAAGUCGUACGAGUGGCGGACGGGUGAGUAAUGUCUGGGAAACUGCCUGCUGGAGGGGGAUAACUUCUGGAAACGGUAGCUACUACCGCAUACCAUCAGAUGUGCCCAUAUGGGAUUGGCUUGUUGGGGGGGUAACGGCUCACAAAGGCGACGAUGCCUAGCUGGUGUCAGAGGAUGACCAGCCACACGGGAACUCAGAAACGGUCCAGACUCCUACGGGAUGCAGCAGUGGGGAAUAGUGCACAAUGGGCGCAAGCGUGAUGCAGCCAUGCCGCGUGUAUGAAGCAGGCCUUCGGGUUGUAAAGUACUUUCAGCGGGGAGGCGUUACCCGCAGAAGAAGCACCGGCUAACUCCGUGCCAGCAGCCGCGGUAAUUC